rnacentral:rRNA from 1 species
GCCCAGACUCCUACGGGAGGCAGCAGGGGGGAAUAUUGCACAAUGGGCGAAAGCCUGAUGCAGCAACGCCGCGUGAAGGAAGAAGGCUUUCGGGUUGUAAACUUCUUUUGACAGGGAAGAGCAGAAGACGGUACCUGUCGAAUAAGCCACGGCUAACUACGUGCCAGCAGCCGCGGUAAUACGGAGGGUGCGAGCGUUAAUCGGAAUUACUGGGCGUAAAGCGCUCGUAGGCGGUAUGUCAAGUCAAGGGUGAAAUCCCCGCGCUCAACGUGGGAACUGCCUUUGAAACUGGCAAACUGGAGUGUGUGAGAGGAUAGUGGAAUUCCAGGUGUAGGAGUGAAAUCCGUAGAUAUCUGGAGGAACAUCAGUGGCGAAGGCGACUAUCUGGCACAUAACUGACGCUGAGGAGCGAAAGCGUGGGUAGCAAACAGGAUUAGAUACCCCAGUAC